rnacentral:lncRNA from 1 species
GGUUACAGUGAACUAUAAUCACAUCACUGCACCCAUCCUGGGUGACAGAGCAAGACCCUGUCUCUAAAAAAUAAAGAAAAGGAAAGAAAAUACAAUUUGAGGGAUGUUCAACAAAAUAACUGAUCAGUACUCUUCAGAUGUAUCAAGGUCGUGAAAGAGGUCUGCAUGAGUAUCUGCGGGAUGCCCAGAAAAGCUUACUCUAGAUGGGGCUGCUCCAUGGCUUCUGUCUGACCUACAAUGCCAAAAAUAUUUGAGAGGUUAGGAGAACACAGUAUCUCAAGCUAUACCUCAACACAUAGCCCUCCUGUCUGAGCUUUCUCUUCUGGCCACUAUACCAAGGGUAUUCAAGAUCACAGGAAUCCUGUCAUCCUCACACACCCCCUUUUUAGUGAUAGGGAGGUAUUUGUCUCAUCCUUCUUGUUGCUCUCAACGUGUCUUUCUCCUCUUCUGGGAACACCUAGCAGAAUCUAGAAGAGUUUGAACCAUUACAUAAUAAAAGCUUCUCCAUGAUAACUUCUGCUUUCCUUGUGCAAAAAAACCUUGGGGGAAGAAAAUACCAAGAGUCUCGCCUAGAAAAAAGGUAGUGAGCACAGGAUAUGGAGAAUAUGAAGAAUUAUUUAUCUCAAUACACCUUCCUGCCACAAAAAUUAAUCCAAUGCCCCCACAG